UGGGGAAUUUUCCGCAAUGGGCGCAAGCCUGACGGAGCAAUACCGCGUGAGGGAGGAAGGCUUUUGGGUUGUAAACCUCUUUUGUUAAGGAAGAAGUUCUGACGGUACCUGAGGAAUCAGCAUCGGCUAACUCCGUGCCAGCAGCCGCGGUAAGACGGAGGAUGCAAGCGUUAUCCGGAAUUAUUGGGCGUAAAGCGUCCGUAGGCGGUUUUUCAAGUCUGUCGUUAAAGACUGCAGCUCAACUGCAGGUAGGCGGUGGAAACUGAGGAACUGGAGUACGGUAGGGGUAGAGGGAAUUCCCAGUGUAGCGGUGAAAUGCGUAGAUAUUGGGAAGAACACCAGUGGCGAAGGCGCUCUACUGGGCCGUAACUGACGCUGAGGGACGAAAGCUAGGGGAGCGAAAGGGAUUAGAUACCCGCGUAGUCC
rnacentral:rRNA from 1 species